rnacentral:lncRNA from 1 species
GCAUCUAUUGUAUUCAAUUAGAGAGAAAAUUUCAGAUUAAGAGAAGUACUAAGACAUGAUAGUUGUAUCAUACUAAAUCUCUUCAAACUACAUCCGUGACUGAUAGUUAAUACAUGUACAUGAACAAAGCAUAAAGGACUAUCUCAAUAUGACACAUAACAAGAAAGGCCAAGAUGUCUUUGGUUUUGUCCCCAGAACAUUAAAUUAAGCUUUUGUUUAUAUAUUUAUUGGAAGAAGGUGGAAACAUAGAUCCAGAAAUUCUGCCUAAAAAAAUAUUAUUAGAAUUUGAAUCGUUUGUGUCAUCUUUGACAUAACUCAAGAAUCCAUGUGGACAGCAUGCCAAAGACGUAGGAAACAAAGUAGUUUUCUAGUUAAUCAUGAAUAUAAUUAUAAUCCAUGACCCUCAUUGUUUACAAUGGAAGUAACUGUUAGUUUAAACACAAACCAUCGCAUACCCAUAGCAGCUCGGAACCAGAAAAACCAGACAACAAAAGAUGGGACAGGUUUCAGGGCAUGAAGAGGAGACACACAAACCUUUUAGCCCAGCACCAAAAGUUCAUGGUCAGGCACAGAAUCGAAUCUUGAGGCUGAGCCCUCACUAUGAUGGCGGCAUCUUUUAUGACUCAUUUGAGAUCCAAGCUGUGACCCAUCAACUAAACAAGGCUAUGCAGAGAUCCACUGGCUCAUCCUCCCCUGCUUUUCUCUGUUACUUGCAGUCCCCUUUGUACCGAAAAUGCCUCGAUCGCAUUUCCAAGGACACUGCAAAGACACCCAAGAGACUCUCCUGCUCGAAGCUCACCUCUGGAAGUCGCGUGAGUGUGCCAAGAAGAAAGGCAGCAACUGCAGGGCCAGUGACAAAGGGGUUUUUGGUGAGGCUGUGGAAGAAAGCCAAACGAGGACUCCUAUAGAAUCAAGCAUAAUAAAAGCAACUUGCCUGUAGGAAAAACCUAUAGAUGAUUAGUCACUAGCAAGCACAGAAGCAAUAAACUGUAAAUAAGUGAAUGCAUCCUCUAGUUUUUUAAUACAUACCUUUUCAAAAUAUUCAUGUCUAGACAAAAGACGACCUGUUCAGUUAUCUUGUCUCUUCUCCAUGUCCUGAUGUUUCGGAGUCAUGUAUUCUCUGGCACAAACUUUAUUCGGUAGUCUCCGGAGUCUUCAGGUAUCAAAUUAUUGCAUAACAUGAGUACAUUACUGCUAUACUUAAUUAGAGACAGAUAGCAAUNNNN